rnacentral:rRNA from 1 species
UACGUAGGGGGCAAGCGUUGUCCGGAAUCAUUAGGCGUAAAGAGCGUGUAGGCGGCCCGGUAAGUCCGCUGUGAAAGUCGAGGGCUCAACCCUCGAAUGCCGGCGGAUACUGUCGGGCUAGAGUCCGGAAGAGGCGAGUGGAAUUCCUGGUGUAGCGGUGAAAUGCGCAGAUAUCAGGAGGAACACCUACGGCGAAGGCAGCUCGCUGGGACGGUACUGACGCUGAGACGCGAAAGCGUGGGGAGCAAACAGG